rnacentral:misc_RNA from 1 species
GAUGAAGAACGCAGUGAAAUGCGAUACUUGGUGUGAAUUGCAGAAUCCCGUGAACCAUCGAGUCUUUGAACGCAAGUUGCGCCCGAAGCCACUAGGCCGAGGGCACGCCUGCCUGGGCGUCACACGUCGUUGCCCCCCACCAUCUACUCCUUCGGGAUUGCGGGGGGCGGAUGAUGGCCUCCCGUGCGCCUAGCCGCGCGGUUGGCAUAAAUACCAAGUCCUCGGCGACGCACGCCACGACAAUCGGUGGUUGCGAAACCUCGGUUGCCCGUCGUGUGCGUUCGUCGCGCAUCGAGGGCUCGAAAAAAUGCUCGGCUCCGGCUCGGCUUUCAACGCGACCCCAGGUCAGGCGGGGUUACCCGCUGAAUUUAAGCAUAUCAUAAGCGGAGGA